UACUUCUGUGAAGUUGCUUGGCUUGU
rnacentral:piRNA from 1 species